AGCGAACGCUGGCGGCAGGCCUAACACAUGCAAGUCGAACGGACCCUUCGGGGUUAGUGGCGGACGGGUGAGUAACACGUGGGAACGUGCCUUUAGGUUCGGAAUAGCUCCUGGAAACGGGUGGUAAUGCCGAAUGUGCCCUUCGGGGGAAAGAUUUAUCGCCUUUAGAGCGGCCCGCGUCUGAUUAGCUAGUUGGUGAGGUAAUGGCUCACCAAGGCGACGAUCAGUAGCUGGUCUGAGAGGAUGACCAGCCACAUUGGGACUGAGACACGGCACAAACAUCUAGGGGAGGCAGCAGUGGGGAAUUUUGCGCAAGGGGUGAAAGCCUGAAGCAGCCAUGCAGCGUGAAUGAUGAAGGUCUUAGGAUUGUAAAAUUCUUUCACCGGGGACGAUAAUGACGGUACCCGGAGAAGAAGCCCCGGCUAACUUCGUGCCAGCAGCCGCCGUAACAC
rnacentral:rRNA from 1 species